rnacentral:rRNA from 1 species
AGUCACUGACAUUAGAUACCCGCGUAGUCCAGGGUGUAAACGCUGCAGACUUGGUGUUGGAGGCCCUUUGGGGCAUUCAGUGCCGAAGGGAAACCGUGAAACGUGCCGCCUGGGAAGUACGGUCGCAAGGCUGAAACUUAAAGGAAUUGGCGGGGAGCACCACAACGGGUGGAGCCUGCGGUUUAAUUGGACUCAACGCCGGAAAUCUCACCGGAUAGGACAGACAUAUGAUAGUCGGGCUGAAGACUCUACUUGAUGAUCUG